GGCUCGGUGGUGGAUGGUCCACACCUGCAUUUCGUGAGCCUGUGAAUUGAGACAUUGACGCAGGAGGAGUCCAUUCGAUUCGGGUCCGAGCCG